AUAAUCUAAGUACAACAAGUAUAUUUCAUUUACAAUGAAAUGGUCUAUAUAAUUAGAGAUUAUU
rnacentral:tRNA from 1 species